AUGGCAUCUUCAUCUCUAUCAGUCGUGUUGAUCCUGUGCCUGGCCGCGGCGGCGUCGGCGCAGCUGUCGACGACGUUCUACGACAAGUCGUGCCCUUUGGCUCUUGAAAAAAUCCUGAACGGCGUGGCGACGGCCGUGAAGAACGACCGCCGCAUGGCCGCGUCGCUGCUCCGGCUGCAUUUUCAUGACUGCUUUGUCCAGGGCUGUGACGCGUCCGUUCUGCUGAAUGAGACUAGCGUGGGUGGCAACGAGCGGGGGGCAUUCGGGAACGUGGGAUCGUUGCGUGGCUUCGAGGUCAUUGAACAAAUCAAGAAGGAUGUAGAAGCCGUGUACAAAAAGCCGUACAACAACAAUGGCCCCGUCGUCUCCUGCGCCGACAUCCUCGCCGUCGCCGCCCGUGAGUCUGUCGUCGCGUUGGGAGGGCCGUCGUGGGAGGUUAAACUGGGGAGGAGGGACUCCACCACGGCUAGCGUGACACAGGCCAAUUAG
rnacentral:rRNA from 1 species